CGCGAAUGGCUCAUUAAAUCACACCUAAUGUACUGGACAGUCUCAGUUACUUGGAUAACUGCGGUAAUUCUGGAGCUAAUACAUGCGUACUAGCCGCGACUCACGGAGCGGUGCUUUUAUUAGAUCAAAACCAAACGGCCUCGAGCCGUCCCCCUGGUGAUUCUGAAUAACUUUGGGCUGAUCGCACGGCCUCGAGCCGGCGACGUGUCCUUCCAAGGUGUGCCCUAUCAACUGUCGACUGUGGCAUAGACGCCCACAGUGGUUUUGACGGGUAACGGGGAAUUAGGGUUCGAUUCCGGAGAGGGAGCCUGAGAAACGGCUACCACUUCUACGGAAGGCAGCAGGCACGCAAAUUACCCACUGGCCGCAGGCCGAGGUAGUGACGAAAAAUAACGAUACCGGACUCAUCCGAGGCCCGGUAAUCGGAAUGAGUACACUUUAAAUCCUUUAACGAGGAUCCAUUGGAGG
rnacentral:rRNA from 1 species